rnacentral:rRNA from 1 species
AUUGAACGCUGGCGGCAGGCCUAACACAUGCAAGUCGAGCGGAUGAAGGGAGCUUGCUCCUGGAUUCAGCGGCGGACGGGUGAGUAAUGCCUAGGAAUCUGCCUGGUAGUGGGGGAUAACGUCCGGAAACGGGCGCUAAUACCGCAUACGUCCUGAGGGAGAAAGUGGGGGAUCUUCGGAUCUCACGCUAUCAGAUGAGCCUAGGUCGGAUUAGCUAGUUGGUGGGGUAAAGGCCUACCAAGGCGACGAUCCGUAACUGGUCUGAGAGGAUGAUCAGCCACACUGGAACUGAGACACGGUCCAGACUCCUACGGGAGGCAGCAGUGGGGAAUAUUGGACAAUGGGCGAAAGCCUGAUCCAGCCAUGCCGCGUGUGUGAAGAAGGUCUUCGGAUUGUAAAGCCCUUUAAGUUGGGAGGAAGGGCAGCAAGUUAAUACCUUGCUGUUUUGACGUUACCCACAGAAUAAGCACCGGCUAACUUCGUG